rnacentral:rRNA from 1 species
CGACCGGCGCACGGGUGAGUAACGCGUAUGCAACUUACCUAUCAGAGGGGGAUAGCCCGGCGAAAGUCGGAUUAAUACCCCAUGAAACAGGGGUCCCGCAUGGGGAUAUUUGCUAAAGAUUCAUCGCUGAUAGAUAGGCAUGCGUUCCAUUAGGCAGUUGGCGGGGUAACGGCCCACCAAACCGACGAUGGAUAGGGGUUCUGAGAGGAAGGUCCCCCACAUUGGUACUGAGACACGGACCAA